AGAGUUUGAUCAUGGCUCAGGACGAACGCUGGCGGCGUGCUUAACACAUGCAAGUCGAGCGAUGAGAUCACUUCGGUGAAGGAUUAGCGGCGAACGGGUGAGGAACACGUGAAGAAUCUGCCUUCAACUCUGGGAUAACUCCGGGAAACCGGGGCUAAUACCGGAUAUGAGCCUUGAUCGCAUGAUCGGGGCUGGAAAGUUUUUCGGUUGAAGAUGACUUCGCGGCCUAUCAGCUUGUUGGUGAGGUAAUGGCUCACCAAGGCGACGACGGGUAGCCGGCCUGAGAGGGCGACCGGCCACACUGGGACUGAGACACGGCCCACACUCCUACGGGAGGCAGCAGUGGGGAAUAUUGGGCAAUGGAGGAAACUCUGACCCAGCGACGCCGCGUGCGGGAUGAAGGCCUUCGGGUUGUAAACCGCUUUCAGCAGGGAAUAAGCGCAAGUGAAGGUACCUGCAAAAGAAGCACCGGCUAACUAUGUGCCAGCAGCCGCGGUAAUACAUAGGGUGCAAGCGUUGUCCGGAAUUAUUGGGCGUAAAGAGCUCGUANGUGGUUUGUUACGUCGGUUGUGAAAUUCAUGGGCUCAACCCCUGACUUGCAGCCGAUACCGGCAAGCUAGAGUUUGGUAGGGGAGACUGGAAUUCCUGGUGUAGCGGUGGGAUGCGCAGAUUAUCACGAGGAACACCGAUGGCGAANGCAGGUCUCUGGGCCAUUACUGUACACUGAGGAAGCGAAAGCGUGGGGAGCGAACAGGAUUAGAAUACCCUGGUAGUCCACGCCGUAAACGGUGGGCGCUAGUUGUGCGAAACCUUCCACGGUUUGUGCGACGCAGCUUAACGCAUUAAACGCCCCCGCCUGGGGAG
rnacentral:rRNA from 1 species